AGACACAUGACGUUAGUGGCUGACUGGAACACAUUCAGUGUUCCAGUCAGCUACUAACGUCGUGUGUCUGUGUACUGAAUGUGUUCCAGUCAGCUACUAACGUCGUGUGUCUGUGUUUGAAA
rnacentral:pre_miRNA from 1 species